GACGAACGCUGGCGGCGUGCUUAACACAUGCAAGUCGAACGGAAAGGCCCUGCUUGCAGGGUACUCGAGUGGCGAACGGGUGAGUAACACGUGGGUGAUCUGCCCUGCACUUCGGGAUAAGCCUGGGAAACUGGGUCUAAUACCGGAUAGGAGCCAUUUUUAGUGUGAUGGUUGGACAGUUUUUUCGGUGUAGGAUGAGCUCGCGGCCUAUCAGCUUGUUGGUGGGGUAAUGGCCUACCAAGGCGGCGACGGGUAGCCGGCCUGAGAGGGUGGACGGCCACAUUGGGACUGAGAGACGGCCCAGACUCCGACGGGAGGAAGCAGGGGGGAAUAUUGAACAAGGGGCGCAAGCCGGAUGCAGCGACGCCGCGGGGGGGAUGACGGCCUUCGGGUUGUAAACGCCGUUCGAGAGGGACGAAGCUUUUUGUGACGGUACCUAGAGAAGAAGCACCGGCUAACUACGUG
rnacentral:rRNA from 1 species